GCGUUCAUAGCUCAACUGGAUAGAGCGACAGACUUCGGAUCUGUAGGUUAUGGGUUCGAUUCCUAUCGGGCGCACCA
rnacentral:tRNA from 1 species